rnacentral:rRNA from 1 species
AGAGCGAACGCUGGCGGCAGGCCUAACACAUGCAAGUCGAGCGCCCCGCAAGGGGAGCGGCAGACGGGAGAGUAACACGUGGGAACGUACCCUUCAGUUCGGAACAACCCAGGGAAACUUGGGCUAAUACCGAAUACGUCCGUAAGGAGAAAGAUUUAUCGCUGAAGGAUCGGCCCGCGUCUGAUUAGCUUGUUGGUGAGGUAACGGCUCACCAAGGCUACGAUCAGUAGCUGGUCUGAGAGGAUGAUCAGCCUCACUGGGACUGAGACACGGCCCAGACUCCUACGGGAGGCAGCAGUGGGGAAUAUUGGACAAUGGGCGCAAGCCUGAUCCAGCCAUGCCGCGUGGAUGAUGAAGGCCUUAGGGUUGUAAAGUCCUUUCGACGGGGAAGAUAAUGACGGUACCGUAGAAGAAGCCCGGCUAACUUCGCGCCAGCAGCCGC